GAAACGGCGUCUAAUACUGGAUAUGUGACGUGACCGCAUGGUCUGCGUCUGGAAAGAAUUUCGGUUGGGGAUGGGCUCGCGGCCUAUCAGCUUGUUGGUGAGGUAAUGGCUCACCAAGGCGUCGACGGGUAGCCGGCCUGAGAGGGUGACCGGCCACACUGGGACUGAGACACGGCCCAGACUCCUACGGGAGGCAGCAGUGGGGAAUAUUGCACAAUGGGCGCAAGCCUGAUGCAGCAACGCCGCGUGAGGGACGACGGCCUUCGGGUUGUAAACCUCUUUUAGCAGGGAAGAAGCGAAAGUGACGGUACCUGCAGAAAAAGCGCCGGCUAACUACGUGCCAGCAGCCGCGGUAAUACGUAGGGCGCAAGCGUUAUCCGGAAUUAUUGGGCGUAAAGAGCUCGUAGGCGGUUUGUCGCGUCUGCUGUGAAAUCCGGAGGCUCAACCUCCGGCCUGCAGUGGGUACGGGCAGACUAGAGUGCGGUAGGGGAGAUUGGAAUUCCUGGUGUAGCGGUGGAAUGCGCAGAUAUCAGGAGGAACACCGAUGGCGAAGGCAGAUCUCUGGGCCGUAACUGACGCUGAGGAGCGAAAGGGUGGGGAGCAAACAGGCUUAGAUACCCUGGUAGUCCACCCCGUAAACGUUGGGAACUAGUUGUGGGGGUCCAUUCCACGGAUUCCGUGACGCAGCUAACGCAUUUAAGUUCCCCCGCCUGGGGAAGU
rnacentral:rRNA from 1 species